UUCAUCAUUGUCGAACGCCGCGAGUCGGCC
rnacentral:sRNA from 1 species